UAGUAGCGGCGAGCGAAGCGGGAAGAGCUCAAAUUUAUAAUCUGGCACCUUCGGUGUCCGAGUUGUAAUCUCUAGAAAUGUUUUCCGCGUUGGACCGCACACAAGUCUGUUGGAAUACAGCGGCAUAGUGGUGAGACCCCCGUAUAUGGUGCGGACGCCCAGCGCUUUGUGAUACAUUUUCGAAGAGUCGAGUUGUUUGGGAAUGCAGCUCAAAUUGGGUGGUAAAUUCCAUCUAAAGCUAAAUAUUGGCGAGAGACCGAUAGCGAACAAGUACCGUGAGGGAAAGAUGAAAAGCACUUUGGAAAGAGAGUUAACAGUACGUGAAAUUGUUGGAAGGGAAACGCUUGAAGUCAGACUUGCUUGCCGAGCAAUCGGUUUGCAGGCCAGCAUCAGUUUUCCGGGAUGGAUAAUGGUAGAGAGAAGGUAGCAGUUUCGGCUGUGUUAUAGCUCUCUGCUGGAUACAUCUUGGGGGACUGAGGAACGCAGUGUGCCUUUGGCGGGGGUUUCGACCUCUUCACACUUAGGAUGCUGGUGGAAUGGCUUUAAACGACCCGUCUUGAGCAAGGGACCAC
rnacentral:rRNA from 1 species